rnacentral:rRNA from 1 species
GGCUUAACACAUGCAAGUCGAGGGGAAACGACGGGGAAGCUUGCUUCCCCGGGCGUCGACCGGCGCACGGGUGAGUAACGCGUAUCCAACCUGCCUCUGACUGAGGGAUAACCCGUCGAAAGUCGGCCUAAUACCUCAUGGCAUCGUCUGCGGGCAUCCAACGACGAUUAAAGAUUUCAUCGGUCAGGGAUGGGGAUGCGUCUGAUUAGCUUGUUGGCGGGGUAACGGCCCACCAAGGCGACGAUCAGUAGGGGUUCUGAGAGGAAGGUCCCCCACAUUGGAACUGAGACACGGUCCAAACUCCUACGGGAGGCAGCAGUGAGGAAUAUUGGUCAAUGGGCGGAAGCCUGAACCAGCCAAGUAGCGUGCAGGAAGACGGCCCUAUGGGUUGUAAACUGCUUUUAUGCGGGGAUAAAGUGAGGGACGUGUCCUUCAUUGCAGGUACCGCAUGAAUAAGGACCGGCUAAUUCCGUGCCAGCAGCCGCGGUAAUACGGAAGGUCCGGGCGUUAUCCGGAUUUAUUGGGUUUAAAGGGAGCGUAGGCCGUGGAUUAAGCGUGUUGUGAAAUGCAGGUGCUCAACGUCUGCACUGCAGCGCGAACUGGUCCACUUGAGUGUGCGCAACGCAGGCGGAAUUCGUCGUGUAGCGGUGAAAUGCUUAGAUAUGACGAAGAACUCCGAUUGCGAAGGCAGCUUGCGGGAGCACAACUGAC